UCGAGCUAGACGGGGAGCUAGCGGUGCCCUGUACCCGAAAGCCGCUUAUGCGGGGUCGAAUUCCCCCUCGAGGGUCAGCGCUUUCCGGGACUGCCGAGGAGAAGCGGCGUUGAGGGCCGGGUCCUGCGCGGCAGGAGCCUACGAACCCCGUCAGGUCCGGAAGGAAGCAGCGGUAAGUAGUCCCUCCUGGGCGCCGCAGGGGUGCCUGGUCGGAGCUGGCUGGCCUGGGCAAGCCGGGAAGGCUGGUUCGACAGGGGGUGCACGA
rnacentral:SRP_RNA from 1 species